rnacentral:rRNA from 1 species
UACGGGGGGGGCAAGCGUUGUCCGGAAUCAUUGGGCGUAAAGCGCGUGUAGGCGGUCCGGUAAGUCCGCUGUGAAAGUCGGGGGCUCAACCCUCGAAAGCCGGUGGAUACUGUCGGGCUAGAGUACGGAAGAGGCGAGUGGAAUUCCUGGUGUAGCGGUGAAAUGCGCAGAUAUCAGGAGGAACACCAAUUGCGAAGGCAGCUCGCUGGGACGUUACUGACGCUGAGACGCGAAAGCGUGGGGAGCAAACAGG